ensembl:lncRNA uncharacterized LOC115021998
ACGUGCCAGCUACAUGAACCAAUCAGAAGAGAGAAGGAUGCACAUUUAAAGAAAAGUCUGUCAAAAACGAAACCGGAGUGGAGGAGAGUUGUUUUGAUGUCCGUGAUUGUCUGAAGUGUUUGUGAACGUUUUCAGCUCUCGUCUAUUUUAAGUGCGUUGGUUACGCUUAAAUGGCUUAAAACAAUCCUCGGUAUUAACUCCGGAGACUUUCAUCCUUCCUUUACAGUUGAACAUUGCUGGGACAACCAGUCACGCUAGAAAUGCACUUUCUUGGCAUUUUUCUUGGCCUUUUUGUGCUAAUUUUAUCCGAUUCAUCACUGGGUUUUCCUGUUCCAGUAGAUACCAUCAUAGUGCAGGUCCAGCAGUGGGCAGUGGUGGGAGCUCUGCAGGUCACAGAGCAAGUCCUUCUCAAUGGAGUCUCUCUUAGUGGAAAAAGCCAGGAAUUUGACAGCAUUAUCCAAACCAUGUCAGCUGAUACACUCCUUCCAACUCUUAUCAGUGUCAACCACACGUCCAGCCUGAUGAACCACACUGUUCUUCAUUCUCGUGAAUGCAUACUGGAGGGGUCUCAGCUGCACUGGGCUGACCGUGUGUUCUAUGAUGGGAAGGUGUUUCUGACUCUGGACCACACUGACACGUGGACAGCGCACAUACCGGAAGCACUGGCCUUUAAAGUGUUGUGGGAGCAGGAAGAGCAGCGCACAAAGGCGGAGCGGAUCCACCUUCAGGAGGGAUGCGUCAAGAUGAUGGCAAAGCUGAUGCUUUCUGAGGAGCAGUCUGUUCCAGGGAUUCCCUUGCCUAGGUUUCUGAUCCCAAUCUUGGCGCUCCUGGUGUUUACAGGACUAAUCAUCAUCAGUCUCAUCCUCUUCAAAAACCAGGGUUUGAGGCACCCUGGAGGUGUUGUUGGCUCAAUUAUACAUUACCCCAAGGACAUGAGUGAGACUGCUCCAGACAUAAAAGGCAAUGGUUACCGUACCUUGUAAUUCAAAGCUCCAGCUGGUUAACAGGGCCACGUUUGAGCUUUCUAGUCCAUUUCCACGGUUGAAUGUCCACAUACUGAUUUAACACUUCCACUUCCUGCUGUGUACAGACAGUAUUGCUCCAUGAAUGUAACCAAACGUGUGGUCUAGUUUCCAGACUGCAUUAUGUUAUGCACUUUAAUGUAAUUAUCACACUUUACUCUGGUGCAUUUAUUCCAUAUACUUUUAAUAUGUGUGCAUGCAUAUUCACAUAUAUAAACACACACAGAAAUGUAAUCAUGUUGACUGCCUGAGUCAAUAUACAAGCUUCUUUUUGCACAAUUAAAAACUGUAAGGGCAGACAUUUUAAUCAUUUCUGGACUAAGCUAUUCAGGUAAACAAUUUAUGUGUAAAUGUAUAAUAAAUAUGUUCUAUGUUAAGCAUGUACAGUAUCUAAUGCAAGUUAAGACAAAAAAUAUCCCAACUUGUCUUACAAUCGGUGAAUAAAGCCCUGCUCUCAAGUGCUUUUAGUUUUGACCAAUCACACUGAACUCUGCCAAACACUGGAUGGACUACUGUCAGUGUGUCCAGUGAUCCAAAGACUGUGUUGUGUUGUUUGGUUUGAGAUACUGUCCUUAUGGUUUUCAUAUUUCUUUGUGUCUUUUCUAUAUGUUUGCCCCUAUGAUUUGUUCAUGUAAAAUUUAAAUAAAAUGUUAAAUAAAAAUUAUAUUAUAUUAUUAUUAUAUUGUCAGAUUAUUUUUUUCAUUCUGU